CACGUAGGGGGCGAGCGUUGUUCGGAAUUACUGGGCGUAAAGGGCAUGUAGGCGGUCUGGUAAGCCUGGCGUGAAAGGCCACAGCUCAACUGUGGGAUUGCGUUGGGAACUGCUGGGCUUGAGUUAUGGAGAGGGAGCUAGAAUUCCUGGUGUAGGGGUGAAAUCUGUAGAUAUCAGGAAGAAUACCGAUGGCGAAGGCAAGCUCCUGGCCGAUGACUGACGCUGAGGUGCGAAAGUGUGGGGAUCAAACAGG
rnacentral:rRNA from 1 species